rnacentral:tRNA from 1 species
GCCGGUUUGGCUCAGUGGGUAGAGCGUCAGCCUGUGGACUGAAGGGUCCCAGGUUCGAUUCCCGGUCAGGGCA